rnacentral:rRNA from 1 species
AUUGAACGCUGGCGGCAGGCCUAACACAUGCAAGUCGAGCGAGCGGCGGACGGGUGAGUAAUGUCUGGGAAUCUGCCCGAUAGAGGGGGAUAACUACUGGAAACGGUGGCUAAUACCGCAUACCAUCGGAUGAGACCAUAUGGGAUUAGCUAGUAGGUGGGGUAACGGCUCACCUAGGCGACGAUCUCUAGCUGGUCUGAGAGGAUGAUCAGCCACACUGGGACUGAGACACGGCCCAGACUCCUACGGGAGGCAGCAGUGGGGAAUAUUGCACAAUGGGCGCAAGCCUGAUGCAGCCAUGCCGCGUGUAUGAAGAAGGCCUUCGGGUUGUAAAGUACUUUCAGCGAGGAGGCGUUACUCGCAGAAGAAGCACCGGCUAACUCCGUGCCAGCAGCCGCGGUAAUUC